UAGGAAAUGAUUAAGCCUUGAUCGAACUAAAUGAAUAAGUGACAGCUAACUAUGUGCCAGCAGCUGCGGUAAAACAUAGGUCACGAGCAUUAUCCGGAUUUAUUGGGCGUAAAGGAAGCGUAGGCGGACAAGUUGAUCUAUUGUGAAAAGCACUUGCUCAACAAGUUGUUUGUGAUAGAUAUCGCUUGUCUAGAAUUAGUUAGGAGAUACUGGAAUUCAAUGUGUAGCGGUGGAAUGCGUAGAUAUAUUGAGGAACACCAGAGGCUAAGGCGAGUAUCUAGAACAUAAUUGACGCUGAGGCUUGAAAGCGUGGGGAGCAAAUGGGAUUAGAUACCCCAGUAGUCCACG
rnacentral:rRNA from 1 species